CCUAUGGGUACAUCCGAGAGUCUCCCAAGAGGCUGCAGAACGUCAGAACAUCUCUGGAGCACUAUUCAGUGAGCAACAGGAGAGUUAAAGAUUUGUCCACCAGUGAGAACACGUGUGCAUUACAGUGGAGGAGCUUCUGAACGCCUUGCUUUACUCAGGGAUUCCAGAGUCCCAGCAGGGGCCGGAGGAAGAAGAACAGACUCCUAGAGAGGAAGAAACUUUGACCUCAAAAAUGAAGAAACAGAGGACCAAAAGGAAGCUCUUGACCAAGAUUCUUAGGCAGAUGGAGACAGGGUUGGGUUUAGCAUUGGUCACACAGCAGAUGGAGACAGGGCUGGGUCUAGUGUUGGUCACACAGCAGAUAGUCAGGUUGCCUGACCCGAAUUCCUGAGUUCUUCCCCCACACCAGCAACCUGGAACUUCUAGAAAAAGCCCAUGAACACGCAAAUGAACACAACAGUGAGAAACCUCUCUUGGCAAAACAUUAUAAGCUGGCUGAGACCUAGGAUUGACUAGGAUGUUAGGAAAAGGAUAGUCUCAUAUAUCCUACCGGUAGGAAGUUGGUUCAGCCACCAUGGAGAGCGACUUGCAGUAUCUGUAGUAUCUGUUAAAUUUUAAAAUGCACACACCCCGCCAGGAGCAGUGGUUCAGGCCUGUAAUCCCAGCACUUUGGGAGGCCAAGGCAGGCAGAUCACCUGAGGUCAGGAGUUUGAGACCAGCCUGGCCAACAUGGUGAAACCCCGUCUCUACUAAAAAUAUAAAAAUUAGCUGGGUGUGGUGGCACACACGCCUGUAGUUCCAGCUACUCGGGAGGCUGAGGCAGCAGAAUCACUUGAAUCCAGGAGGCGGAGGUUGCAGUGAGCCGAAAUCGCACCACUGCACUCCAGCCUGGGCAACAGAGCAAGACUCUGUCUCAAAAUAAAUAAAUAAAAUAAUAAAAUAAAAUGCACACACCCUAUGGCCCAGCAGACUCAUGUUUCCUUAUUAUCUCCCUCAGAAAAACAAACACUUAAGUGCACAUGGGGCCAAUUACAAAAGUAAUCAUUGGAGUGUUUUAUUGCGAAAAGCUGGAAAUAGUCUAAAUAUCCACACAUCCAUUGAGAAACAGUUUAUAAAAUAAGGCACACAUGAACCAUGGAAUGUACCUUGAGCAGUGAGGCAGGCGGUCUCCAGGUACUCUUAUGGGAAGUUCUCCAGGAAGUUCUGUUGAGUAAAAUAUCGGAAGCAGGAGGCAUAAUAACUGAGUAUGACACAAUUCAUAUAAAAACCACCCACAGGGCCGGGGCGAGGUGGCUCACGCCUGUAAUCCCAACACUUUGGGAGGCCAAGGCAGGUGGAUCACAAGGUCAGGAGUUUGAGACCAGCCUGGCCAAGACAGUGAAACCGCG
rnacentral:lncRNA from 10 species